UUGGAACUUGUCGCCCGCAUUUCUACAAAUACCAGGAACUUUGGGAAAUUUCAAUUUUACAAUCAAUAAAAGUUCAACAAUGACAAAUAUAGACCUCUUGCUCUUUAUGACUGGACUUCUGUUUAUUAUGUUUCUCUGCGUCACAGAUGUCAAUGCGCCACCACCCGCAGGCUUUGUUCAUACAGAUAUUACGCUUAGCUCUGACGAUUUUGACGGAGGGUGAACCUCGACUUCUUUCAUAUUUCUUCAUUCAUCAUGUUAUGUCAUCUAACAAAUGAAUUAGCAUUAUAUAUAUAUAUAUGGCACUAUAUAUCAGCAAUAUAUUAUUUACCAAUUGUUGUUAAUAUAUAAAAUUGCAAACAAAUAAUAUAUUAUGCCGAUAUUUUGAAGUAACGACGUUUAAAAAAAACUAUUUCUCAUAAUAGUAAGCA